rnacentral:rRNA from 1 species
CAAAAACAUUUCUAUUAGUAAUUCAUUAAUAGUAAAAUCUGCUCAAUGAAAUUAUUAAAUAGCCGCAAUUGUGCUAAGGUAGCAUAAUCAUUUGUCUUUUAAUUAAAGACUAGAACAAAAGAUUUAACAUUUAAAAUUAUUUCUUUAAUUUAAACAUUUAAAUUACUUUAAAAGUAAAAAAACUUUUAUAAAAAAGAAAGACGAUAAGACCCUAUUGAAUUUUACUUUAGUUUAACUGGGGCAGUUAAUUAAUUAAUAUUUUAAUAAAAAUCUUCCCUAAACUGAUCUAAUAAAAUUAAUUAAAUGACCAAAUUACCGUAGGGAUAACAGCGUAAUAAAAUUUUAAAGAUCUUAUUAAAAAUAAUGAUUGCGACCUCGAUGUUGAUUUAAUAUUCUUAUUCACGCAAUAGUAGAUAAAGAAAGUCUGUUCGACUUUUAAAAAAUUACA